GAUAGACUGAAUUAUUUUUGGACGCGGGUUCGACUCCCGCCGUCUCCACCACUAGGGCAUUUAUCAGAGUGUUUUAUUGGAGGGGACGUAUUGGCUUCGACAGGGAUAACUAGGAAUAUUGGCAGUCGGUAGGCGAUGACCGUAAAUCAAGCACAUCUAUAAAUGCUAACGAUGAUAAAUUUGCAUUGGCAGCUUAAUUAAACAAGCUCCAGGAGUGUGAUUCACUUGGCAACAGAACGAAUCAAGGCAGCUUCGGCUGCCUUUUU
rnacentral:tmRNA from 1 species